UAGGCGGAUAGGAACCAUUCUGUGGUUAUCCACUUGGUGGGCCGAAAUGCCGCCCAAAGCAACAAUGAGAAAGUUCAACAAUGUGCUCCGCGUUCUGCGGAUGUACAUGGCCCUCAUUGAACAGUU
rnacentral:snoRNA from 1 species